GACGAACGCUGGCGGCGUGCUUAACACAUGCAAGUCGAACGAAGUGGCGAACGUGUGAGUAACGCGUAAUCAACCUGCCCUUCAGAGGGGGACAACAGUUGGAAACGACUGCUAAUACCGCAUACUGAAGGGGGGGAUUGCGUGUGAUUAGCUAGGUGGGUGGGUAACGGCCCACCAAGGCGAUGGUCAGUAGCCGGUGUGAGAGGAGGAACGGCCACAUUGGGACUGAGACACGGCCCAGACUCCUACGGGAGGCAGCAGUGGGGAAGCUUCCGCAAUGGACGAAAGUCUGACGGAGCAACGCCGCGUGAGUGAUGACGGCCUUCGGGUUGUAAAGCUCUGUUAAUCGGGACGCGGUAUCUAACCAGAAAGCCACGGCUAACUACGUGCCAGCAGCCGCGGUAAUAC
rnacentral:rRNA from 1 species